GAUUGGUGCUUGCAUCAUGAUUUACAUUUGAGUGAGUGGCGAACUGGUGAGUAACACGUGGGAAACCUGCCCAGAAGCGGGGGAUAACACCUGGAAACAGAUGCUAAUACCGCAUAACAACUUGGACCGCAUGGUCCGAGUUUGAAAGAUGGCUUCGGCUAUCACUUUUGGAUGGUCCCGCGGCGUAUUAGCUAGAUGGUGGGGUAACGGCUCACCAUGGCAAUGAUACGUAGCCGACCUGAGAGGGUAAUCGGCCACAUUGGGACUGAGACACGGCCCAAACUCCUACGGGAGGCAGCAGUAGGGAAUCUUCCACAAUGGACGAAAGUCUGAUGGAGCAACGCCGCGUGAGUGAAGAAGGGUUUCGGCUCGUAAAACUCUGUUGUUAAAGAAGAACAUAUCUGAGAGUAACUGUUCAGGUAUUGACGGUAUUUAACCAGAAAGCCACGGCUAACUACGUGCCAGCAGCCGCGGUAAUACGUAGGUGGCAAGCGUUGUCCGGAUUUAUUGGGCGUAAAGCGAGCGCAGGCGGUUUUUUAAGUCUGAUGUGAAAGCCUUCGGCUCAACCGAAGAAGUGCAUCGGAAACUGGGAAACUUGAGUGCAGAAGAGGACAGUGGAACUCCAUGUGUAGCGGUGAAAUGCGUAGAUAUAUGGAAGAACACCAGUGGCGAAGGCGGCUGUCUGGUCUGUAACUGACGCUGAGGCUCGAAAGUAUGGGUAGCAAACAGGAUUAGAUACCCUGGUAGUCCAUACCGUAAACGAUGAAUGCUAAGUGUUGG
rnacentral:rRNA from 2 species